CCUACGGGAGGCAGCAGUGGGGAAUAUUGGACAAUGGGCGAAAGCCUGAUCCAGCAAUGCCGCGUGAGUGAUGGAGGCCUUAGGGUUGUAAAGCUCUUUUACCCGGGAUGAUAAUGACAGUACCGGGAGAAUAAGCUCCGGCUAACUCCGUGCCAGCAGCCGCGGUAAUACGGAGGGAGCUAGCGUUGUUCGGAAUUACUGGGCGUAAAGCGCACGUAGGCGGCUUUGUAAGUUAGAGGUGAAAGCCUGGAGCUCAACUCCAGAAUUGCCUUUAAGACUGCAUCGCUUGAAUCCAGGAGAGGUGAGUGGAAUUCCGAGUGUAGAGGUGAAAUUCGUAGAUAUUCGGAAGAACACCAGUGGCGAAGGCGGCUCACUGGACUGGUAUUGACGCUGAGGUGCGAAAGCGUGGGGAGCGAAACAGGAUUAGAUACCCUGGUAGUCCACGCCGUAAACGAUGAUAACUAGCUGUCAGGGCUCUUAGAGCUUUGGUGGCGCAGCUAACGCUAUUAAGUUNUCCGUCGNGGGACGUACGGUCGCGAAGUAAUUAAACACAAAUAGUAAGUUCGACGGCGUAGGAGACGUCGACCGAAGGCCGAACACCGGAGGGGUUAGAGG
rnacentral:rRNA from 1 species